rnacentral:rRNA from 1 species
UCGCCUUCGGAUCCGGGCGCUGCAGAGUUUGAUCCUGGUCAGAACGAACGUGGCGGCGUGCUAAAACAUGCAAGUCAGUACGAGAAAUCCUGGGAAACCGGGAGAGUAAAGUGGCGACGGGUGAGUAACGGUGGGUAACCUGCCUUUGAGUUGGGGAUAACCCCGGGAAAGCAGGCUUAAUACCGAUUAAUAUGUCGUACCUUACGGGGAUGGCCAUAAAAGAUGGCCUCUGCAUGAAAGCUAUUGUUCAGGGAUGGGCCCGCGUACCAUUAGCUUGUCGGUAGGGUAAUGGCCUACCAAGGAACGAUGGUAGCUGGUCUGACGAGGAUGCCAGCCAACUGGAACUGAGACAGGUCCAGACUCCUACGGGAGGAGCAGUGGGGAUCUGCGAAAUGGGGGACCCUGACGAGAAACGCCGGUGGGUGAUGAAGCCUCGGUCGAAAGCCCUGCUAGGUGGAAGAAA